ensembl:misc_RNA 7SK 7SK RNA
GGAUGUGAGGGCGAUCUGGCUGCGACAUCUGUCACCCCAUUGAUUGCCAGGGUUGAUUCGGCUGAUCUGGCUGGCUAGGCGGGUGUCCACCCUUCCUCCCUCACUGCUCCAUGUGCGUCCCUCCCGAAGUUGCGCGCUCGGUCAAAGAGGACGACCUUCCCCAAUAGAGGAGGACCGUUCUUCGGUCAAGGUAUACGAGUAGCUGCGCUCCCCUGCUAGAACCUCCAAAAAACAAGCUCUCAAAAGUCUACACGAUGUGAUCUCUGUCCACCUCUCAAAUCUCAUUCUGUA